GGACGAACGCUGGCGGCGUGCUUAACACAUGCAAGUCGAACGGAAAGGCCCUGCUUUUGUGGGGUGCUCGAGUGGCGAACGGGUGAGUAGCACGUGAGUAACCUGCCCUUGACUUUGGGAUAACUUCAGGAAACUGGGGCUAAUACCGGAUAGGAGCUCCUGCUGCAUGGUGGGGGUUGGAAAGUUUCGGCGGUUGGGGAUGGACUCGCGGCUUAUCAGCUUGUUGGUGGGGUAGUGGCUUACCAAGGCUUUGACGGGUAGCCGGCCUGAGAGGGUGACCGGCCACAUUGGGACUGAGAUACGGCCCAGACUCCUACGGGAGGCAGCAGUGGGGAAUAUUGCACAAUGGGCGGAAGCCUGAUGCAGCAACGCCGCGUGCGGGAUGACGGCCUUCGGGUUGUAAACCGCUUUCGCCUGUGACGAAGCGUGAGUGACGGUAAUGGGUAAAGAAGCACCGGCUAACUACGUG
rnacentral:rRNA from 1 species